CCUACGGGGGGCAGCAGUGAGGAAUAUUGGUCAAUGGACGAGAGUCUGAACCAGCCAAGUAGCGUGAAGGAUGACUGCCCUAUGGGUUGUAAACUUCUUUUAUAUGGGAAUAAAACGUUCCACGUGUGGGAUUUUGUAUGUACCAUAUGAAUAAGGAUCGGCUAACUCCGUGCCAGCAGCCGCGGUAAUACGGAGGAUCCGAGCGUUAUCCGGAUUUAUUGGGUGUAAAGGGAGCGUAGGUGGAUUGGUAAGUCAGUUGUGAAAGUUUGCGGCUCAACCGUAAAAUUGCAGUUGAAACUGGCAGUCUUGAGUACAGUAGAGGUGGGCGGAAUUCGUGGUGUAGCGGUGAAAUGCUUAGAUAUCACGAAGAACUCCGAUUGCGAAGGCAGUUCACUGGACUGCAACUGACACUGAGGCUCGAAAGUGUGGGUAUCAAACAGGAUUAGAUACCCUGGUGGUC
rnacentral:rRNA from 1 species